CUCCCAGCGGGAAGCCCAGCUCAGGGGUCAGGGUCUGGCUGGCACUGGCUGGCACCCCACCAGGUAAAUGUCCGGGUGUCUUCCGCGUGUCUUCCGGGUGUCAGUGGCCCCAGGAGCAGAGGACGCGUCCAGGCUGGGGAGGGAUAUAUUAAAGCCAUCAACACAUGGGGGUGAGUGAGGAGCCAGCGGGACGUUGGCCUUGUGUUAAGCCUUCAGAAAAGCGAUUGAGUGGAGAUGAACUAUGUCUGCGAAAGCUUCAUGUCCCCAGCCUUUCUGUGCCGGAGGUGUUUUAUCCCAGACGAGUCUCACUUGGUUCAGGUGCCUGUCCUUGUUUUCUUGGCGAUCGCCAUUUGGUUCGCAUCUCCCCGUCACUCCCGACAUGGAAACCGACUUCACCACUUGUGAAUCUUCCCACGGACCAGGAUGCUGUGAAGUGAAACUUUCUGACACGCUGUCGCUGUCCUCAAGAUCCGCUGAACUCCGGAUCCAGGAUCAGUUGGAAGGAUGUGGCACCAUGCAUCUGUCUCUGCCUCCAGAAGUCCUGUUAGCGUCUCCAGCAGGCUCAGCUCUGGAAAAGCUGGAGAGGUUGCAAAUAGAAUUGGACAGAUCUGGAGUCCGAGAAGCAGGCUUUGGAAGCGUCUGUAACACCACCACAACUGCCACGUGCCUCCCGAGGGUACAGGCCGCUGUGCAGGUGAGCGGUUGGGCUGGAGGACCUGCCCACCUGCAACCCUGCGCUCGGCUCCUGCGCCCGGGCUCGAAGCCUGCCUCCCUCCCUCCCCGGGCUUGUGGCGCCUGUGAGAACCCGGGCCCGGUUGAUAAAGUCGUUCAGAG
rnacentral:lncRNA from 1 species